AGUUUAAUAAUUUAAAAAAAAUAAUAAAUUGCAAAUUUAUUUAUGCUUAAAAGCUUAAACUU
rnacentral:tRNA from 1 species